AACGGGUGGUAAUGCCGGAUGCUCCAGUUGAUCGCAUGGUCUUCUGGGAAAGCUUUCGCGGUAUGGGAUGGGGUCGCGUCCUAUCAGCUUGACGGCGGGGUAACGGCCCACCGUGGCUUCGACGGGUAGCCGGCCUGAGAGGGCGACCGGCCACAUUGGGACUGAGAUACGGCCCAGACUCCUACGGGAGGCAGCAGUGGGGAAUAUUGCACAAUGGGCGCAAGCCUGAUGCAGCGACGCCGCGUGAGGGAUGGAGGCCUUCGGGUUGUAAACCUCUUUUAUCGGGGAGCAAGCGAGAGUGAGUUUACCCGUUGAAUAAGCACCGGCUAACUACGUGCCAGCAGCCGCGGUAAUACGUAGGGUGCAAGCGUUAUCCGGAAUUAUUGGGCGUAAAGGGCUCGUAGGCGGUUCGUCGCGUCCGGUGUGAAAGUCCAUCGCUUAACGGUGGAUCCGCGCCGGGUACGGGCGGGCUUGAGUGCGGUAGGGGAGACUGGAAUUCCCGGUGUAACGGUGGAAUGUGUAGAUAUCGGAAAAGAACACCCG
rnacentral:rRNA from 1 species